rnacentral:rRNA from 1 species
AAUCAACGCUGGCGGCGUGCCUAACACAUGCAAGUCGAACGCGAAAGCCCCGCAAGGGGGCAAGUAGAGUGGCAAACGGGUGAGUAACGCGUGGGUGACCUACCUUCGAGUGGGGGAUAACGUUCCGAAAGGGACGCUAAUACCGCAUGACAUUCUGCCUUUGAAGAGGUGGAAAUCAAAGCCUGGGACCGCAAGGCCAGGCGCUUGAAGGACGGGGCCCGCGUCCGAUUAGCUAGUUGGUGAGGAACGGCUCACCAAGGCUUCGAUCGGUAGCCGGCCUAAGAGGGCGGACGGCCACACUGGCACUGCGACACGGGCCAGACUCCUACGGGAGGCAGCAGUAAGGAAUAUUGCGCAAUGGGCGAAAGCCUGACGCAGCGACGCCGC